rfam:Bombyx mori DNA, contig: Bm_scaf28_contig18310, strain: p50T/Dazao, build 2, whole genome shotgun sequence.
UUAACUCAAAUUUGUAUGGAAUUGGAACGUUUGCCUAAGUUGCCGCUACGGGCGCUGUUCCAACUGCAUACAAAUUUGAGUUA